rnacentral:misc_RNA from 1 species
AACGCACAUUGCGCCCUUCGGUAUUCCGUUGGGCAUGCCUGUUCGAGCGUCAUUUAACCCUUCAAGCUCUGCUUGGUGUUGGGUGUUUGUUCCGCCUCAGCGCGUGGACUCGCCUUAAAUUCAUUGGCAGCCUGUAUAUUGGCUUCGUGCGCAGCACAUUGUGUCACGAUCUCCGUAUAUCUCCUCCCAUUAAGCCUCCUUUUUACUUUGACCUCGGAUCAGGUAGGGAUACCCGCUGAACUUAA